CAAUUCUUGAACCAAUGCAUGUAUAUAUCACAAACUAAGUCCUCUGUGCACGAUUUUAUCAUUAUUUACGCAAAUAUAUCGUAUAAUCGUCAAUUGUUUUUCUCUCUGUCUGUUAUGAUUUAACAAAUAUGGCUGCUCAUUAAAUGCCGUGUUUUGAAGCCGAAGUUUACCGAUUGUCACCUUAUAGUAAAUAAAUAACAAAAAGCAUGGGUAUUGAGCACGUGCUUAACAUGUACAAUCAGAUAAUUGUUUAUUUUAAUGACAGAUUCAUGCGUAUUGCGAUCACCGGAUUUUUACGAGGAGGGUUACGCUCAGGUCACUAUGCAUAUGGAAAAUAUGUCGGCGAAUUGCUUCCUGGAAGCAAGCAAUUAAAAAUAAGUAAACUCUUUCUAAAUGUGGACAAAUUAAAGAAUUUUCCUCAGAAAAAAGUAUAUGUACAAAAGUUUUAUAAUGAAAACUAUCCAUUUAGUUAUAAAAAACAGAUGCAUAUUUUUUUUUAAUUUGAG
rnacentral:lncRNA from 1 species